UUCUACAUAAUCACACUUGUUCUAUGAGCUGCUGUUUCCAAUCUUCUGCCACACAGAGCAGCCCCUCCCUGCCACUCCCCACUCAGCUCCUUCAGACUAGCCAGCAGCAAUUAGCAAACACCUGGUGGAACUGCUGAGCUCAUAUGAGCUACUUCUCAGUGAAACGCUGGAAAAUAAUGUUGUUAAAGGGUUAAUACAGGAGCCAUGUAGUCAUGAUUUUCUGAAGGCAGAUUUUCAGAAAGAGCAGGAGUUUCUUAAAGAGACAGGUAAAAUUUCAAGACAUCAAAUUACUUAUAUUUGAUAUAUCCAGCAUUUUAUAACAACUGAAGCCAACAUAGUUACUGGAUUGUGC